UGAUGAUCUCAUCUGUCGCUCUGCCCAG
rnacentral:piRNA from 1 species